UUUACGAACACCGAUCAUCGGUAUGUACCCAUUAUGCAUUAUUGGUAUCGAAGUCUUAUGUUGAGCUGGAUAUCGAAAAAUUUCAAAAUGUAAGGCUGUAAUUUUGUACUUGUUUAGGUGUAGAACUAGGAUUAACAACUUGAUUGCUAGGAGCUAGGAAGAGAUUUUAGUAAUGAUGACCCUUUAAACUUAAACUAUAUCUCUAGUGCACUUCGAUCGGUUUUCUUUUCAAUUUUGAUAAAACCUAGUCGUGAUCUUUGUUUCAGAACUUCACUAAUUUAUUAAGUUUUGUAGUUUAUAUAGACGGAACAUGAGCAGAUACCAUUUGAUUAAUUAUAAUAUAUCCGAUUUGAAAUAUUAUUCUGUCGGAGUUUGAGUUCAACAUGGACACAUUUAUUAACAUCCCGCAUGAAUUUGUGUCGUCUUUACAAUUUUUUGCGCUGAAUUUGUAUGCUUAUUAAUACUGCCGCAUGAUAUCAGUAGCUGCUAUAAAACUAGAGUGUAUAGCAUGUGUAUUAUACGAUGUUUCCCACGUAAAAAUCGCAGGUUGUUUUGGUGCGGCUGGGCACUCUACUGGUGAUUGACACCAGAGACUGAGAAAAACUUUGACAUAAUUUUCAAGUUUGAUAUGACCUAAUAACUACCACAUUUACAGGAAGUAUGGUAAUACAUUCUUGUCAGCUGUCUGGGCAAAUCUUCUCUCGCAGAAUUGGAUUAAAAUUUAAUGUAUUUUAUUUCUCACUUCCAACGAUGUCGCAAUUAUUAGGCAGCUAUCAAGUCUCAAGAUAUGACAUAAUUUGAUAGAAUGUUAGUACCAACGCUAUCAGUGCAUUGAAGUCGAGUUCUCGAUACAGGGAGCUGCUGGUAAACUACCGUCGCUAUACAUCGACUAUGACUACAAUCCUACUUUUAAAAACAAACUACAUACAUAUCUCACAUUUGCGAGGACUACUUCAUCACAAGCAAAAAAUCGACAUUGGUAAAUAAAGGUAGGUUCUUU